CCUACGGGUGGCAGCAGUGAGGAAUAUUGGUCAAUGGACGAGAGUCUGAACCAGCCAAGCAGCGUGAAGGAUGACUGCCCUCUGGGUUGUAAACUUCUUUUAUAUGGGAAUAAAAUGUUCCACGUGUGGGAUUUUGUAUGUACCAUAUCAAUAAGGAUCGGCUAACUCCGUGCCAGCAGCCGCGGUAAUACGGAGGAUCCGAGCGUUAUCCGGAUUUAUUGGGUUUAAAGGGAGCGUAGGUGGAUUGUUAAGUCAGUUGUGAAAGUUUGGGGCUCAACCGUAGAAUUGCAGUUGAAACUGGCAGUCUUGAGUACAGUAGAGGUGGGCGGAAUUCGUGGUGUAGCGGUGAAAUGCGUAGAUAUCAGGAGGAACACCGAUGGCGAAGGCAGCUCACUGGACUGCAACUGACGCUGAGGCUCGAAAGUGUGGGGAGCAAACAGGAUUAGAUACCCCUGUAGUC
rnacentral:rRNA from 1 species